rnacentral:tRNA from 1 species
GUCUUGUUGGCUGAUCGGAUCAGGCACUUGGUUGCAACCCAAGCAAGGGCGGUUCAAUUCCGUCACAAGAUU